GACAGAGGAGGCAAGCGUUGUUCGGAAUCACUGGGCUUAAAGCGCGCGUAGGCGGCCUAGUAAGUGUGUUGUGAAAUCCCACGGCUCAACCUUGGAACUGCAAGGCAAACUGGAAGACUUGAGGUCGGUAGAGGGGAGUGGAACUCUCGGUGGAGCGGUGAAAUGCGUAGAUAUCUGGGGGAACGCCGGAGGCGAAAGCGGGGCGCUGGGCCGAUUCUGACGGUGAUGCGCGAAAGCGUGGGGAGCAAACAGG
rnacentral:rRNA from 1 species